rnacentral:rRNA from 1 species
UACAGAGGGGGCAAGCGUUGUUCGGAAUUACUGGGCGUAAAGGGCGCGUAGGCGGCCGCCUAAGUCAGACGUGAAAUCCCUCGGCUCAACCGGGGAACUGCGUCUGAUACUGGAUGGCUUGAGAUUGGGAGAGGGAUGCGGAAUUCCAGGUGUAGCGGUGAAAUGCGUAGAUAUCUGGAGGAAUACCGGUGGCGAAGGCGGCAUCCUGGACCGACAUUGACGCUGAUGAGCGAAAGCUAGGGGAGCAAACGGG